rnacentral:rRNA from 1 species
UACGUAGGGUGCGAGCGUUAAUCGGAAUUACUGGGCGUAAAGGGUGCGCAGGUGGUUUUGUAAGUCAGAUGUGAAAUCCCCGGGCUUAACCUGGGAAUUGCGUUUGAAACUACAAGACUAGAGUGUGGCAGAGGGGGGUGGAAUUCCAUGUGUAGCAGUGAAAUGCGUAGAGAUGUGGAGGAAUACCGAUGGCGAAGGCAGCCCCCUGGGAUAACACUGACGCUCAUGCACGAAAGCGU